ensembl:lncRNA
UGUAAUGGACGAUCUUCAAAACUGACUCAAGUACAGCAAGCAGUGGCGUCCCCAGAAAAUUUUAAUAGGGGUGGCCAGAUAAGGUCACAGUAAAUCUUGGGGUGGCACACUGAAAUAAAGAAAUAAAAAAAUAAAAUAAUUAAAAGUUCCACUUAAUGUGUGUUAUACAUAUUUACUUUUGUUUCUGGUUAAUGUAAUAAUAUGAUUUUAAUAACCAAUUAAUUACUUACUCUUUAAAUAGUGUAGGUCUUUUAAAUAAUUAUACAUCAGCAAAUAUAUGGACAAAACCAAAAAAAAGGGACAAUAUUUAGUUUAAAUCACUUUACAGUCCAAUUAUUUUCUACAUACUUUUAUUGUACAAAAACAUAGGACAGGCCAUGUCUAAAAUUAAUAAAGAACAACUGAACAAAAUGUUUUAAUAUAUAGACAAUGAACAUUUUAACAAAGCGUACUCACAACCAAUCUAUAUUCCUGUUUUAUUAGGCCACAAACUUAUCAAUACAGCUUUAUAGACAAAUAUAGCAUUUAGGCCAUGUCUAAAGUGAAUAAAGAAAAACAAAAUUCAUUAGUAUAUAGACGAUGUGCUUUUUAAGAGGUCAUUCAUAACCAAUCCAUAUUCCUGUUUUAUUAGGCCACAAACGUAUCAGUACAGUUUUAUUCUUCUAUUGCUGUGUCUUUUUGCAAACACAUCCACAAAAUCAUCAAGAUUUAUGGCCCUUGCCCUUCUUGACUCUACACUUAACACCCCCAAAUUGCUCAAUUGUUCAUCACUCAUUGUGUUUCUCAAGACCGUCUUGAUCAUCUUUAGCACAGAAAAACAGGGAAUAUGUUUUCUAAAACAUGGCAGACUGCUGUUACUUGGGGUAUUGGCAGUGUCAUUUCUCUGGAUGCCUCACGUUGGGAUCAAAUGAGGAUGAGUUUCAACUCAUGGAUUAAAGAAAAAAAAAAUGAACUGAAUCGACGUUUGAUGCACAGGCCGACAGACUGGCGGAUAUUUAACAACCCCCAUUUUACAUCUGGUCCCCCUCUCAAUUUCACUUGAGUUUAGAAUGAUGGCAGCCCAGAAAGGUCAAACCUUACCAGAUUGUAAAACAACACUAAUCAUCCUGGCCAGCCCAUUUCCCACACUGACAUCCCCUAAUUUGUUACCAGCCGAUUCAAAGCGCUGCCAGCCACAAGCAGUGUUUGGCUUCUCUUUUCUGCUAAAUAAAAAUAAGGGAGGAUGGUGAAGGGAGUUGUGGAGGAGGGCUGAAAGCAUUUCAUCAACACUGUUGUCUCUGCUGCUAAAGAGAAGGGCACUCUUUAUGUAAAAUUUAUAUGGUCUGUCUUGUAAAUGUCCUUUGGAUGUGACACUUUAGCUCGUCACUUGAUACCAAUCUGUAGGACUAGUGUCCUCCUGUCUAAAACAGGUCUCUCCUGUCUGUUCUUGAGUACAGAUGAGACGUGCCCACUUCUUAACCCCCAAUUCCUCUCAGAAAUGGCAGACCCAGUCCAUGUUUACGGGAAUUUCAUCUUCUUUGAGAGACAGCCGGCUUUGGUUUUGUUGUGAAUAAUUGCAUUAUGACAUUGAUAAAUAUGAACAGGAUAUUAAACUUGCUGCACGAGGUCUGGACACAGAACAGGAAAACAGACAAGGUGUGUUUACUGUGAAUUGAUUCUAGAAGGGCUGCUUUGCCAGACACAGAUUAAACCUAAUAGAGAGCUAAAUGGGACAUUUGAUGGAGAAUCCACAUUGACAAUAUCAUUUUCUCUGGGACAAAGUUUAAUGUGUCCCCAUUAAGAGCAGAAAAAAAAGAUCUAUUGACCAUGACAGAGGUAGCAAAAUCAACAGCAGAAUACCUUUAGGAAAUAAUACUAUACUUAAUAAUGACAUAGUGCUUUUCUCAUGAUGAAAAUAUUCCUUCUUACUACCACUUGCGACUCAAUUCAAUUUUCUCAAUGGUAUCUGCAAUGACCUAUCCUCUAAUUCAAUUUCCUCAAAUAGUAAGUAGCCUUCUGUCCAGGCCUAGCUAACAAGAUCCAUAUGAUGUCAGGCUCAAGGCAGAGAUAAAACACUGUAGAAAAGAGAGAGUUGAGAUUAUUAUAGAAAAUCCACCCAUUUAACAAGGCAUUCAUCAAAAAGAGAAAUAUUAAAGAUAAUUAGACUUUGAUUAAGACCAGGCAGAGGCAGGACUAUAGAUAAUGGGACUUAGUGAAUGAGCGCUACAUGAGUGUCCUCACUGAAGCAUCUCCAAGAAUGUGGUACUCACAAUCAGAUGAGCUUCUUUUGGAGAGACCUCUAGGCAAUGUCCAGCUUUCCUAUUCAAACCAGUCAGACAUGCUUUCUCUCUGACCCAGAUGGCUGGAAUCAUCAUUGUGUAUAGAUGCUGUCAACAGACUUUCAACAGAACAAGGCCAUGAUUCAUUCAUAGUCUUGUGUGUUGACUGGAAGUUACAUCAGCACAUUUGGAUAACAAACAGUCAGAUGUUUCUGAUGUACUAUUCUAAAAUAAUAUCAGCACACAUGGAAAGUAUUAACAUAUAUACUCGUCUGUUGUCCACACUGAUGUUCAGUCUGAAUUGUUCACAUAUAUGUCAAAAUGUAACUAUUAUUUACUAAAUUAACUAAAUAUAAGUUUAUUUCUCAAAAUAUCAAAUUAUGUUUUAUGUAUUCAUAUUUUUUUAACAGUUCCAUUUAAACGUAUUUAAUUUAUUUAUUCAUUUUCAUUCAAUGUAGUCAUACAUACUUUUUUUUUUUUUUAAACGUUAUGAAUGUCUUUAAUUAAUAACCCUGAUGGUCAGUAAACCACACCAAAUGGAAAGUUAAUGUGAAUUAUGUACUAGUGUAUAAAUAUAAGUAAAUUCAAAAGUCCUAAUCUAAUAUACUUCCAGCACAUUUACAGGGUAACUACAUUAAGAAUUAAAAAUGUAAUAAAUAAACACAUCUUACCAUGUGUGUUCAGUCUGAGCAUUGGCAUUUCAAAAUAAGCUUUCUGUAAAGGUUUAAAAUAUGUGAACACUGAGUAUCUGAGUGAUAAAUCCAUUUUUUUUUCUCCUUACUCUGAUCCCCUGCAUCCUUUAAUCCAGUGUCCCGCAUCCAAGCUAGUGACAGUGAUGAAAAUGAACAGGACUUCUAAUCAAGUAGCUCCUCAUUUUAUAUUGUGUAUGUCUUAAAAUGCAAUUUUGUAAUUCAUUAUUGAUAUUAUAAUACAGCAGUGUGAAUAAACAAACAAGGAGAAAUGUAAUAUUUUGCAGAAUAUGAAUUUUGAUAUGGCAGAAUAAGUAAGAGAUUGCACAGGACAUAUCUGUGCACUGGACGGGCAACACCUGCUAGUGCUACAAAUGUUGCAACAUAGCUGGUAUGAGUGCAGGUAAUGAAUGAAAUCUUUAAAAGAUAUAUUGUAUUAUUAUUAUUUGUUAUUCUUACUGUAGGUAAAUAUUGUGUUUGUGUUUUAGAUAGUUUGCCUGACUCACAUGUGUUUUGGGCUGCAGUGUUUGCAUAUUAGUAAAUAUAGACUGAUGUAAUAAUAUUCCCUAAUUUGUAAAUGUAAACAAAUGCUCUCGUUAUUUUUUUUUUCUAAUUGAAGCUAGUGUAGGCCGCCUACUUUUCAUGGUGAAGUUAAAUUAUACAGUUUAUUUGAUUUACAAAAUGUAUGUAUGCUUUAAUGGCAAUGAGGCAUUAUUGGAUACAUUCAUCAUCACAUAUCCUUUAUUUUUUAUUUAGAAAAAAAAUAUAUAAAUAUAUUAUAUACAAUGUGCUGAAAACAUGUUUUUUGUUUUGUUUUUUCCAAGUUUUAUUCACCUGACAUUUUUCCAUCAAUCUUCAAUUAAGUGAUUGCUUUGUAAGUUGCACAUAAUCACUGACAACCCAAAAUGGUCGUUUGUGAUCAUGAGGGUAAAGAUCAAUUGUUAAUUUAGCUUAGCCACGUGUAUCCCAAGUCACCUGUUGUUUUAUCCAGACCGAAUUAAACACAGAGGCCACAAAUAAGGUCUUGAGACCUUGAUAGAUUGAACUCAUUUGAGUGUCCCUGAAAGUAAUUAAAUGAUCAAGUUGUUUUGUUUUGGUUCCCUUUGAGAAUGCGGGCAAAAAUUCAGUUGGGCUGGCCAAAGCAUUUGUGUCACAUAUGUGGGCAUUUCAGUCAAGAUCAAUGCCAGUAUAACACAACAUACCUUUUUAAUGGCAUUGAAAAGUGCAGAUCUUUAGAUUUUGUGUCAUUUGCUACAUUGUGCCUUUGACCCCUUUCAUUGGGGGAGCUGACCAGUUUAAGGACGUCUUUUAUAAGAAGAUCCAUUAGACUAAAACCACCUUCCAGACAAAAAAAAAAACAAAGAGCUUGAACAUCUGUGACCAAUCUGGACCCAGACCUUUAACCUCUGUUGCCACUGACAUAAUUAAAGCUGGUAACUAGGUUACUUAAAUGGAUCAGUUUCCAUCUUACAUAUGUGACACAUAUGGGUGGUACAUAGUAAUUAACUAACAGUGUUGCUAGUGGCUUUUCUUAAAACAUUACAUCCACAGACUUAUGUGUGUUUAACAGAAAGCAAUAAUGACGUUGUAGUUAUGUCUGAUUGGAUAUUACAUAAUACUUGUCUAGAUCAAUCUUUUUCGAGAUGUUAACCUUGUAUCAUAAACAAACAAUUACUGUAUGUUUAUUUAUCACAAAGAUAUAAAGACUUCUGUAAGACAUUCCAUUUCACAGACUUACACACGUGCAUAUCAUGUCCACACACAUGCAUGUACUUGCACACAAUUACAUAGUGUUUUACUUUAAAUCACUGUUACAAAUCCAAAUCACUAUGGUGAAUUUCAAAUAUGAUUUGAGCCAUCUUGCUGUGCUGCUGUGAUGAAUUUAUUUUACCAUCUGGUUCAGUUUCACCCUUAUAAGCUUUCCUCUGAGACACCAACUGUAUGUUUAUUGGAUAGUUUCACUCUGCUGUGGAAACUGAGAACAUGACACAGGUGUUGACAAAUGUUGCAAAUAUGCUGAAGGGGCAUAAAACACAACUGAGAAACAAGAACAAAGCUGGAAAGCUUAAAAAACAUGUUUUUGCUCAUUUCAUUGACGGAAGGCAUUUACUGUAAAUCGUGAUAUAUAUGAGCUUUCUAGUUUAGAUAAGACAAGAAAAGAAUAAUAAAAAAAAAAAAUCAGUCAUAAGAGUACAAAUCGCCUCUUAGCACAGUGAUUUGCAUGUAGCGUGUGUUUAAGUGCAGAGACAAAGAGACAAAUACAUACACUGAAAUACAAGAUUCUUUUUCCAUGAGACAGGGCACAGCAGUCAGCAAUCAGCUAACAGAGGCUCGAAUGAGUUUUCACCUCUCCAUCAUCUGCCUGUUGAAAUAACAGUAGGAUGAGAGGCAUUAUGAACAGUAGAUUAACACCAGUAUAGUUUGCAUAGCAGCCCUGUGCUCCAAUAAUGAGAAACACAGAGAUGAGAGAGCCACCUGAAUGAAUCUGAACUAAAUUGACCGAGAGCAGCCAGAGGCUUUCCCUUUGUCCUUCCUCUUUGUUUGCUAUGUUUUGACAAGCUAGAGCAUAAAAGCCAUGCAAAUGGUGUGUGUCGUCUGUGCGUGUGGGACAAGAGAGGUUAAGAGAGGACAUACUAAAAAGUCAUAGUUGGUACACUGAACUUACACUUAAAGGGUUUAGUUAUUUAUUUAUUUUUUUAUGUAUUUUUUCUGUUGUCUGCCCAAACGCAAAUGUAAUAUGUACAAAUAUUGCAUUUAAUGACAUUGUCAUAUGAAGUACAAACAUAUAUGAAACUUUUUAGAAAUUUAUACAAUUUCUGGCCCAGACAAGUAUGUAAAAU